UUUCUAGCUCGCUCUCCCUCUACCUUAGCUUGCUUCUUCGUUUUCUUGUCCGACAUGCGUCCAUUCGUUCGUUCUUUCUUUUUCAAUCUUUUCGACGACGCGAUGUAAGUUUACUCCGUUUUUGCAUGUAGCGUUUCGCGAACGGCCGAAUUCUGUGAUUUUCGCGAUACAACGUAACCGUCGUCCGCGCGCGUUUGCUCGUCGAUUCGCUCGACCAGUGCACGCCGUUCAAAGUAUCUUGGCGUAAAUUUUCGCGAGAGGAUAAUUCGCAGUGAAAAGAAACGUUUUUAUCUCUGUGAUAUCGUGCGACGUUCACCGAGUGAUUAUCUCGGGAUAGAGCACACCGGCCGACCACGUGUGCGUUUCGAACGACGAACCACCAGCUAAGGAAGAAGAUUUUCGAGGUCGCGUCUCGACCGUCCAUGAUUCUCGGUUUUCUUCGAUUUUCGUGUUCGAUCGUUCGAUCGUCGCCGACUACGAAAACCGUGUAAAGCGAAUAAGGUUAUCCCGGUUGUACCGGCGCGGCGGUGCAGACGAGGGAACUCUUCUUCUCGAUUCGUGGUAGCUGUAUUCGAUCGGACGCGAGCACUGCACCCCGACGAGGGAGACCAAGAUCGAUAUUUACGAGGUGCCUACAAAUUUUCCUUGCGCCAUCGUUAGACGAGCCACGUAUCAGGCUUUCGCUUGAUCGGUUUCGAUAACGGGGCAUGGAUCGUUCUGGGUGUAUAGCGAAAGUGCGACGACGCGACGGAAAGCGUGGAAAAGCAACGUUCUCGUUUAAGUAGACUUUCGUGAAAACGUCGACGGCCGAACGAGAGGAAUUAUCUUGGCAGAGUAUUCGAGAAAUCGAUCGAAAAGUUUGUUCCGCGAUCGUGCGCGCGAAUCGCGUCGAGGGUUGGCCCUUGGCGAACGUUGCACGAAACGAAUUACGGUUACCAGAAGUCCCGUUUCGUUCGCAAAUGCGGGAUAAUUAGUCCUCGACGAUGAAUCAAACCGAGCUGACUAGCAUAUUUGCCUGGCGGUACAGUUAGUUUCCUGAUUAAUGGAGAUACCCCUUGCGGCAACCGUUCCCAUAAAGUCUCGAACUGGAAACCCUCUUUUCGCGGAACCGUAGAAACACGGUCUCUCUCUCUCUCUGGGCGCUGCGAAUAAUCGUGCCUCUUUCCGUACUCGUUCGCGUCUCCGUGAGCGUCGGAGCGUAUACGUAUAUUGGGGAGGAGACGGUAAUUACUUUCGCGAGCGCGCCAGAUAGCGCGAGUUCUUUCGAUCGGCGGUCGAGUAAGUUUUCGAGGUGAAUUUUCGAGUUUCGUCGCGCGUUUCUUCGACGAUCACCGCGAUCCGUAAUCGUACGAGGGUAACACUUUUUUAAAGUCGGACCGCGCGAUGUCUAUGGUUUUUCAGAAAUAUCGGCGCCAUAUUUAACGAAGAAAAGAAAACGUUGUUCGCCGUGAACGAACGCGUGCACGCUAUUUCGGCCAAUGAAUAUUCGUGUAUGUAGGUGGACUAUCGACGGAGACGCGUAGACGCGCGACGCUCCGAUGCAGAUUGAAUAAUAGCCGAGGGUGUAAAUGCGCGUUGCGCGUAACUGCGGAGUUAACCAAAGUGCCCUUCUUCCUGCUAGUUUUCCUUUCCAAUCCGUCGCGCUACGUCGCACGCGCGUACGCCUUCUCGUCAACGAUAAACCCGAUAAACCGGCGUCGAUGAAGGCGAGGAGACCGACCAACGUGUGUCAAAGGCAUAACCGUUCACGAAUUCGAAGACACGAACGACGAGGAUAGAAAGCAUCGCCAUUUCCAGGAGUGGUCAACCCAUGCCCGCGUUCGUGACGAGGAUACGCGAUACGAUUCCCCAACGCCGAACGCUCGAGCUGAGAGAAUUUCGAGUGGCACGGCCGUAAACGAGACAUCCUCGUCGACGAACCACCCGAUUUCUUCGUUGUAACAGCUUACAUAAAUAAAGCAAAUAAAUAAAGGAA
rnacentral:lncRNA from 1 species